rnacentral:rRNA from 1 species
UGAAGCCCCGGGGCUCAACCUCGGAAACUGCAUUCGAUACUCCCCGUGCUAGAGUAAUGGAGAGGUAAGUGGAAUUCCUGGUGUAGCAGUGAAAUGCGUGGAUAUCAGGAGGAACAUCAAUGGCGAAGGCAACUUACUGGACAUUUACUGACGCUCAGACACGAAGGCUAGGGUAGCGAAAGGGAUUAGAUACCCCUGUAGUCCUAGCAGUAAACGGUGCUCGCUUGGUGUGGGAGGAUUCGACCCCUUCUGUGCCGGAGCUAACGCGUUAAGCGAGCCGCCUGGGAAGUACGGUCGCAAGACUAAAACUCAAAGAAAUUGACGGGGACCCGCACAAGCGGUGGAGUAUGUGGCUUAAUUCGAUGCAACGCGAAGAACCUUACCUAGGCUUGACAUGCUUGUCGUACUCUCCCGAAAAGGAGAGGUCACUUCGGGUGGACAAUGCACAGGUGCUGCAUGGCCGUCGUCAGCUCGUGUCGUGAGAUGUUUGGUUAAGUCCAGCAACGAGCGCAACCCCUGUGAACUGUUGCCAGCGCGUAAAGGCGGGGACUCUGUUCAGACUGCCCAGAUCAACUGGGAGGAAGGUGGGGACGACGUCAGGUCAGUAUGGCCCUUACGCCUAGGGCUGCACACGUACUACAAUGCCCAGCACAAUGAGAACCGAGACCGCAAGGUGGAGGAAAUCUGCAAAACUGGGCCCAGUUCGGAUUGGAGGCUGCAACUCGCCUCCAUGAAGUCGGAAUCGCUAGUAAUGCCGUAUCAGCUACGACGGCGUGAAUACGUUCCCGCGCCUUGUACACACCGCCCG